UAGGGAAUAUUGGUUAAUGGGCGAAAGCCUGACCCAGCAACGCCGCGUGCGCGAUGAAGGCCUUCGGGUUGUAAAGCGCUUUUAAGUGGGAUGAGGAAGGACAGUACCACUAGAAUAAGUCUCGGCUAACUACGUGCCAGCAGCCGCGGUAACACGUAGGAGACGAGCGUUAUCCGGAUUUACUGGGUGUAAAGCGCGUGCAGGCGGUAUGGAAAGUUGGAUGUGAAAGCUCCCGGCUUAACUGGGAGAGGUCGUUCAAAACUACCAAACUAGAGUACAGCAGAGGGGAGUGGAAUUCCGAGUGUAGCGGUAAAAUGCAUAGAUAUUCGGAAGAACACCAGUGUCGAAGGCGGCUCCCUGGGCUGAAACUGACGCUCAGACGCGAAAGCUAGGGUA
rnacentral:rRNA from 1 species